AGAUAUCUUAGGAUUGCCAUUGGAACAGAAUAUUUACCCGACAACCUUAUUAAGGCUUCACCAUUUAUUGGAACAAUCUUAUCGAGUGGCUAAAACAUCCAUGAAUGUAGAAAUGUUCAAGAGGUAAUACCUGGCUUCUGGCUUUGUGAAUCAGCUGAACUUUGUGGUAUCAUGCGGAUUGCGAAGAUCAAACACCUUACCAUUCGAGUCCGAAAACCAAACUGUUGUAUUCAAUUGAAGAAAUAAAAGCUCGAGAGAUACUGUUUAAUAUAA